UGCAACAAAACAAUAAAUGCUAAUAACAAAACGCGAAGAAGUAACAAAGCAAGGUUUCUGUAAAAUACUCUGCAGAAAACUCCGUCCUCGGGAGGCUGGGCGCUUAUUAA
rnacentral:sRNA from 1 species